UCCGCCGAUAGAAGAACACGAAAAUUCAGAAGAGAUUGUAAAAGUUUCUUCGCUCUCUCAACCAAAGAAGCUACGGUAAACAUUCCAAUCUCUCUCUAGCUUUUUUUUUUCUUUUUUGAAUUUCGAUUCGAAUCAAUAAAACGUAAUUAGGGUUUUGUUGUUUUCGUUCAACACGGUCGUUAUCUCUCUUAAUACUGAACUCCAAUCCAUCCUAGUUAGGGUUAGAGUUAGGACACGAAGACUAUCCAAGGUAUCUAUCUGGUUAGGGUCUAUCAUCCUUACGUUUUGCUUUUCUUUUAAAUCGAGUUUUGGUUUCUAACUUUAAUUGUUGUGUUUGAUUGGGGUUUGAUUUGGAAAUUCAAUAAUGGCGCAUCUGGGUGGUGGUGCUGAGGCACACGCUCGAUUCAAGCAAUACGAGUACAGAGCCAAUUCCAGUCUGGUUCAUACUACUGAUACUCGACGACGUGAUACUCAUGAGCCCACUGGUGAACCUGAGUCUCUCUGGGGCAGGAUUGACCCUGGAAGUUUUGGUGACCGUGCUCACAGAGGGAGACCUUCUGAGUUAGAUGAGAAGAUUAACAAGGCUAAGGGGAAGAAGAAGGAGCGUGAUGCUCUUUCUGAAGCUGUCCGUGGUUGUCAAGCUAAGAGGCGCCGCUUUGGAGAGGAGAGUGUCCUUACUUCUACUGAGGAGGGCGUUUACCACCCCAAGACCAAGGAAACUAGAGCUGCCUAUGAAGCCAUGCUAAGUGUCAUUCAGCAGCAAUUGGGUGGUCAGCCUCUUAAUAUUGUUAGUGCUGCCGCUGAUGAGAUUUUGGCUGUUCUCAAGAAUGAGUCUGUUAGGACGCAGGACAAGAGGAAGGAGAUUGAGAAGUUGUUGAACCCUAUUCCCAACAGUAUGUAUGAUCAGUUUGUUUCAAUUGGUAAGCUUAUCACUGAUUACCAAGAUGGGGGUGAUGGUGCUGGGGUCUCUGUUGCUAAUGGUGAUGAUGUCCUUAAUGAUGAUGUGGGUGUUGCUGUGGAGUUUGAUCAGGACAAUGAAGAUGAGGAAGGGGAUAGUGAUCUGGAUAUGGUGCCACAGGAGGAGGAAGAGGAUGAUGAUGUGGUGGAAGCAGGUGGUUCUGGGGCCAUGCAGAUGGGUGGCAGAAUCGAUGAUGAUGAAAUGAGGGGGGCAAAUGAGGGAAUGAACCUUAAUGUUCAGGAUAUUGAUGCUUAUUGGCUACAAAGGAAGAUUUCACAAGCUUAUGAACAGCAGAUUGAUCCACAACAGUGCCAGAAGCUAGCAGAAGAAGUGCUGAAUUUACUUGCCGAGGGAGAUGACAGGGAAGUUGAAACGAAGUUGCUGUUACAUCUCCAGUUUGAUAAGUUCAGCUUUAUAAAGUUUCUUUUGUGGAACAGGCUGAAGAUUGUCUGGUGUACACGUUUAGUUAGGUCCAAAGAUCAGGAGGAGAGGAAGCAGAUAGAGGAGGAAAUGAUGGGUUCAGGUCCUGAUUUGGCAGGGAUUUUGGAGGAACUGCAUGCCACUAGGGCAACUGCUAAAGAGAGGCAAAAGAACUUGGAGAAGAGUAUAAGAGAAGAGGCUCGCUGGCUGAAAGAUGAGGCUGGUGGAGAUGGGGAUAGGGGUAAGAGAGGACUUGUUGAUAGAGAUGCUGAAAGUGGUUGGUUGAAAGGCCAGCCUCAGUUGCUUGACUUGGACAGCAUUGCUUUUGAACAGGGUACUGGCCUUUUGAUGGCAAACAAAAAGUGUGAUCUUCCUGUUGGUUCUUUUAAACAUCAGAAAAAGGGUUAUGAAGAAGUUCAUGUACCAGCAUUGAAGCCACGGGCAAUACCUCCUAAUGAGAGGUUUGUAAAGAUAUCAGACAUGCCAGACUGGGCUCAACCAGCUUUCGAAGGGAUGCAACAGUUGAACAGGGUGCAGAGUAAAGUCUAUGAGACCGCCCUUUUCAAGGCAGAUAAUAUACUCCUGUGUGCUCCAACUGGAGCAGGAAAAACCAAUGUUGCAGUGCUCACUAUACUUCAGCAAAUUGCCUUGAACAGGAAUCUGGACGGUUCAUUCAACAAUAACAAUUAUAAGAUAGUUUAUGUGGCUCCAAUGAAAGCCCUUGUGGCUGAAGUUGUGGGUAAUUUGUCCAAUCGUCUGCAGGAGUAUGGUGUCCAGGUGAAGGAACUAAGUGGAGAUCAAACAAUGACCCGCCAACAAAUUGAGGAAACUCAGAUAAUUGUGUCAACCCCUGAAAAGUGGGACAUUAUCUCCAGAAAGUCUGGUGAUCGCACCUAUACUCAACUUGUGAAACUCCUUAUUAUUGAUGAGAUUCACCUUCUUCAUGAUAAUAGAGGACCUGUGCUUGAGAGUAUUAUUGCAAGAACCGUGAGGCAAAUUGAAACAACAAAGGAAAAUAUCCGGUUGGUGGGGCUGUCAGCUACACUCCCUAAUUUUGAGGAUGUGGCUUUGUUUUUACGGGUUGAUCUGGGAAAAGGGCUCUUCCAUUUUGACAAUAGCUACAGGCCAGUUCCUCUUUCUCAACAGUAUAUUGGAAUCAAUAUAAAUAAGCCACUGCAGAGGUUUCAGUUGAUGAAUGAUAUCUGUCACGAGAAGGUAAUGGAUGUAGCAGGAAAGCAUCAAGUUCUCAUCUUUGUCCACUCAAGGAAGGAAACAGCCAAAACAGCUCGAGCAAUAAGGGACACUGCACUUGCUAACGAUACUGUAAGUAGGUUCUUGAGAGAGGACAGUACAAGUCGUGAGAUUCUCCAAACUGAUUCAGAAUUGGUGAAAAGCAAUGAUCUCAAAGAUCUUCUGCCCUAUGGCUUUGCUAUUCAUCAUGCUGGGAUGACAAGAGGUGAUCGUGAACUUGUUGAGGAGCGCUUUAUGGAUAGGCACGUGCAAGUACUGGUUUCUACUGCAACUCUAGCUUGGGGUGUUAACUUGCCUGCUCACACUGUGAUUAUCAAAGGGACUCAGAUUUACAAUCCAGAAAAAGGAGCAUGGACUGAACUAAGUCCACUGGAUGUUAUGCAGAUGUUGGGUCGUGCUGGCAGGCCUCAGUAUGAUUCAUACGGGGAAGGGAUUAUCAUCACAGGCCAUCGUGAGCUGCAGUACUACCUUUCCUUGAUGAAUCAACAACUUCCCAUUGAAAGUCAGUUCGUAUCCAAGCUGGCUGAUCAGUUGAAUGCAGAAAUUGUUCUAGGAUCAGUUCAAAAUGCCAGGGAAGCUUGCCACUGGCUCGAGUAUACUUACUUGUAUGUCCGGAUGAUGCGAAACCCUACAUUUUAUGGCUUAGCACCAGAUGUUCUUGCUAGGGAUAUCACAUUGGAGGAGAGGAGGGUUGAUCUGAUACAUUCUGCUGCUACUAUCUUGGACAAAAAUAAUUUGGUCAAGUAUGACAGGAAGAGUGGAUAUUUCCAGGUGACUGACUUGGGUCGAAUUGCGAGCUACUACUAUAUUACUCAUGGGACAAUGUCCACAUAUAAUGAGCAUUUGAAGCCAACAAUGGGAGAUAUUGAGCUGUGUCAUCUAUUCUCAUUAAGUGAAGAAUUUAAAUAUGUUACAGUUAGACAAGAUGAGAAGAUGGAACUGGCAAAGCUUUUGGACUGUGUUCCAAUUCCUAUCAAGGAAAGCCUAGAGGAGCCUAGUGCCAAAAUUAACGUUUUGCUGCAAGCAUAUAUUUCUCAGCUAAAGCUCGAAGGGCUUUCAUUGACAUCUGACAUGGUGUUCAUAACUCAGAGUGCUGGUCGUCUUAUGCGAGCUCUCUUUGAGAUUGUCUUGAAAAGAGGAUGGGCCCGGUUAGCUGAGAAGGCUUUGAACUUGUGUAAAAUGAUUAAUAAGAGAAUGUGGAGUGUCCAGACUCCCCUUCGGCAAUUCCAUGGGAUCCUUAAUGAAAUUCUGAUGAUGUUGGAGAAGAAAGAUUUGUCAUGGGAAAGGUACUAUGACCUUAAACCACAGGAGAUUGGUGAGCUCAUCCGUUUUCCCAAGAUGGGCAAAACACUGCACAAGGUCAUCCACCAAUUCCCAAAGUUAAACCUUGCAGCACAUGUUCAGCCCAUUACUCGCACCGUGUUGAGGGUUGAACUUGCAAUAACUGCAGACUUUCUAUGGGACGAAAACGUUCAUGGAUACGUGGAGCCAUUUUGGGUUAUCAUGGAGGAUAAUAAUGGUGACUCUAUUCUUCAUCACGAGUACUUCAUGCUGAAAAGGCAGUCCGUUGAUGAGGAACAGGUUGUGGACCCCACACUGAAUUUCACAGUGUUGAUCCAUGAGCCAUUGCCACCUCAGUAUUUCAUUCGUGUUGUGUCAGAUAAAUGGCUUGGUUCACAAACAGUUUUGCCCAUCUCUUUCAGGCAUCUUAUCUUGCCAGAAAAGUAUCCACCUCCUACAGAGUUGUUGGACUUGCAGCCUCUGCCUGUGACUGCGUUGAGAAAUCCAUCAUAUGAAGCUCUUUAUCAAGAUUUUAAGCAUUUUAAUCCAGUGCAAACUCAGGUCUUUACUGUUCUUUAUAAUACAGAUGAUAAUGUCUUGGUUUCUGCACCAACAGCGAGUGGGAAAACUACCUGUGCAGAGUUUGCCAUAUUGAGGAAUCACCAAAAGGGACCAGAGUGUGUAAUGCGUGCAGUGUAUAUUGCUCCUCUUGAAGCAAUUGCUAAGGAACGCUAUCGUGAUUGGGAGAGAAAGUUUGGCCAAGGUCUUGGCAUGCGCGUUGUUGAAUUAAUUGGGGAAACAGCUACAGACUUGAAGCUACUUGAAAGGAGUCAAAUAAUCAUCAGCACUCCUGAGAAAUGGGAUGCUCUGUCUCGACGAUGGAAACAGCAGAAGUAUGUCCAGCAAGUUAGUCUUUUUAUCAUUGAUGAGCUUCACUUGAUUGGGGGUCAAAGUGGUCCUGUCUUGGAGGUGAUUGUCUCUAGGAUGCGAUACAUUGCUAGUCAGAUAGAGAACAAGAUACGGAUUGUGGCUUUGUCUUCCUCUCUUGCAAAUGCCAAGGAUCUUGGGGAAUGGAUAGGAGCUACAUCUCAUGGCCUUUUCAAUUUUUCUCCUGGUGUGCGUCCUGUGCCCCUGGAAAUACACAUUCAAGGUGUUGAUAUUGCCAAUUUUGAGGCAAGGAUGCAAGCAAUGACGAAACCAACAUAUACUUGUAUUGUCAAGCAUGCAAAGAAUGGUAAGCCAGCUAUUGUCUUUGUUCCCACAAGAAAGCAUGUGCAACUCGCUGCUGUAGAUCUGAUGACAUAUUCAAGUGUGGAUGGUGGAGAGAAGCCAGCUUUUCUGUUAAGGUCUGAAGAAUUGGGGCCUUUCAUUGGAAAGAUCCAGGAAGAAAUGUUGAGAGCCACUUUGUACCAAGGAGUUGGGUACUUGCAUGAGGGCUUGAGCAGCUUGGAUCAAGAAGUUGUGUGCCAACUGUUUGAAGCUGGGUGGAUUCAGGUUUGUGUCAUGAGUAGUUCAUUAUGCUGGGGGUUGCCUUUGUCAGCACAUUUAGUGGUGGUGAUGGGAACUCAAUACUAUGAUGGGCAAGAAGAUGCUCACACGGAUUAUCCUGUCAUGGAUCUUCUGCAGAUGAUGGGUCAUGCUAGCCGACCUCUUCUAGAUAACUCUGGAAAGUGUGUCAUCCUUUGCCAUGCACCUCGUAAAGAAUAUUACAAGAAAUUCUUACAUGAAGCAUUUCCCGUGGAAAGUCAUUUGCACCAUUUCUUACAUGAUAAUUUUAAUGCUGAAGUUGUUGCUGGAGUUAUUGAGAACAAGCAGGAUGCUGUAGAUUAUCUCACGUGGACAUUCAUGUACAGGAGGCUCGCUCAGAAUCCAAACUACUACAAUCUCCAGGGAGUUAGUCACAGGCAUCUUUCUGAUCACCUCUCAGAGCUUGUUGAGAACACAUUGGCUGACCUAGAGAAGAGUAAAUGUGUUGCUAUCGAGGAUGACAGGGACCUUUCUCCUUUGAACCUUGGCAUGAUAGCAUCUUACUAUUACAUCAGUUAUACUACUAUAGAACGUUUUAGCUCCUCUCUGACUCCCAAAACAAAGAUGAAGGGUCUUCUGAAAAUCCUCUCUUCAGCCUCAGAGUAUGUGCAACUGCCAAUACAACCUGGGGAGGAGGAGGUGCUUCGAAGAUUAAUCAAUCAUCAGAGGUUUUCGUUUGAAAAUCCUAGAUAUGCUGAUCCACAUGUGAAGGCUAAUGUGUUGCUACAAGCCCAUUUCUCUAGGCAAUCUGUGGGUGGGAACCUAGCAUUGGAACAGCGAGAGGUGCUUCUUUCUGCCAGUAGAUUGCUUCAAGCAAUGAUUUAUGUCAUUUCAAGCAAUGGCUGGUUGAACUGUGCUCUCCUUGCUAUGGAAGUUAGCCAAAUGGUGACACAAGGGAUGUGGGAGCGAGAUUCCAUGCUUCUACAGCUUCCACACUUCACAAAGGAGUUGGCUAAGAAAUGCCAGGAGAACCCGGGAAAGAACAUUGAGACAGUGUUUGAUCUGGUAGAGAUGGAAGAUGAUGAGAGGCGUGAGCUUUUGCAGUUGUCAGAUUCUCAGGUGCUAGAUAUUGUGAGGUUUUGCAAUCAAUUUCCCAACAUUGAUAUGUCUUACGAGGUGAUGGAUGGUGAUAAUGUGAGGGCAGGAGAAGACAUCACUUUGCUUGUCACCCUUGCAAGGGAUCUAGAGGGGACAGAGGUGGGACCUGUUGAUGCCCCAAGGUAUCCUAAAGCCAAAGAAGAAGGGUGGUGGCUUGUUGUCGGUGAUACCAAGAGCAACCUGUUGCUGGCCAUCAAGAGGGUUUCCCUUCAGAGGAAGUCAAAGGUGAAGCUGGAGUUUGCUGCUCCUACAGAUGCUGGAAGGAUGUCAUACACACUCUAUUUCAUGUGUGAUUCUUAUCUUGGCUGUGACCAGGAAUACAACUUCUCUGUUGAUGUCGGUGAAGCUGCAGGCCCAGAUGAAGACAGUGAAGGAGAGUAAACUGCAGUUAGUUAUUUUUUUUUCCUUCUCAUUUUUGUCUCUUCCAGUAGCAAUAUUGGAAUUUACAAGAAUAGCUGGCUAAUCUUUCUAAUCUUGGUUGGUGUAUUUGCUUUUGUUUUAGGAGAUGGUCAUAUAUGGUUCAUGCUGUCGGCGAAAAUGACCGCUUUGAACAUGUAUGACAAUGUGAUGAAGAUUUAGAUUCAGGUGGCGGUGCCUUGCUUUUGCAGACCUGGUAGAGUUGGUACCCAGAUGAAAUUUCUUUCGUGGUUCAUUGCUUUUUUUCUUUGUUACUGAAUUUGUAAUUAAUGUAUAUAAUUUUCACUGCACUUCUUGGUGGUGCAUUUUUUUUAGGUUAAAGAUGCAUUAUCAUGAUCAGGUAUUUGUUGAUUGAGUCGGGUAGGAUGUAUGGAGCAAUCAUCCUCGUAACCAAGAAGAAGAAGACGGCGAUGUUAUGAUUAUUUUCACCUUCUUUCAUCUCUAGGAAGUUGAUUGCAGGAAUUGACGAGUGCUGAGGGGUGAUCCUCUCUUGCCGUGGCCUGAGAGAUUAUUAUAAAACGAGUCUUUUGGGUAAGAAAACAAAGGGAUGGCACAGCUAAAACGAUGUCGCUUUGUUCUCGUCCUAUCUAGGACAAGAGGGAGGGGGGCGGGAGUUGUACCAGCAUCUUGCUGCCCAGAAAUAGGUGUGGAGUUGAAGGCUGCUUAAUUUAGGGCUUGGUGGAGAAAUCCUCUUUCAAACAUCAAUUUGUUAUACGUAUGUUGUUGAAAAUUGUGUAAUUAAUUAAAUAUUAAAGAGUUGGAGAAAA